UGGGGAAUAUUGCGCAAUGGGCGCAAGCCUGAUGCAGCCAUGCCGCGUGUGUGAAGAAGGCCUUCGGGUUGUAAAGCACUUUCAGCGAGGAGGAAGGUGGUGAGCUUAAUACGCUCAUCAAUUGACGUUACUCGCAGAAGAAGCACCGGCUAACUCCGUGCCAGCAGCCGCGGUAAUACGGAGGGUGCAAGCGUUAAUCGGAAUUACUGGGCGUAAAGCGCACGCAGGCGGUUUGUUAAGUCAGAUGUGAAAUCCCCGGGCUCAACCUGGGAACUGCAUUUGAAACUGGCAAGCUAGAGUCUCGUAGAGGGGGGUAGAAUUCCAGGUGUAGCGGUGAAAUGCGUAGAGAUCUGGAGGAAUACCGGUGGCGAAGGCGGCCCCCUGGACGAAGACUGACGCUCAGGUGCGAAAGCGUGGGGCAGCAAACAGGAUUAGAUACCCUGGUAGUCCACGCUGUAAACGAUGUCGAUUUUGGAGGUUGUGCCCUUGAGGCGUGGCUUCCGGAGCUAACGCGUUAAAUCGACCGCCUGGGGAGUACGGCCGCAAGGUUAAAACUUAAAUGAAUUGACGGGGUCAU
rnacentral:rRNA from 1 species